AUUGAACGCUGGCGGAAUGCUUUACACAUGCAAGUCGAACGGCAGCACGGACUUCGGUCUGGUGGCGAGUGGCGAACGGGUGAGUAAUGUAUCGGAACGUGCCCAGUCGUGGGGGAUAACGUAGUGAAAAUUACGCUAAUACCGCAUACGAUCUAUGGAUGAAAGCGGGGGAUCGCAAGACCUCGCGCGAUUGGAGCGGCCGAUAUCAGAUUAGGUAGUUGGUGGGGUAAAGGCCCACCAAGCCAACGAUCUGUAGCUGGUCUGAGAGGACGACCAGCCACACUGGAACUGAGACACGGUCCAGACUCCUACGGGAGGCAGCAGUGGGGAAUUUUGGACAAUGGGCGAAAGCCUGAUCCAGCCAUUCCGCGUGCAGGAUGGAGGCCCUCGGGUUGUAAACUGCUUUUGUACAGAACGAAAAGGUUUCUACUAAUACUAGGAGCUCAUGACGGUACUGUAAGAAUACGUACCGGCUAACUACGUGCCAGCCGCCGCGGUAA
rnacentral:rRNA from 1 species